rnacentral:rRNA from 1 species
UGGGGAAUCUUGCACAAUGGGGGAAACCCUGAUGCAGCGACGCCGCGUGAACGAUGAAGCCCUUCGGGGUGUAAAGUUCUUUCGACGGGGACGAUAAUGACGGUACCCGGAGAAGAAGCUGCGGCUAACUACGUGCCAGCAGCCGCGGUAAUACGUAGGCAGCAAGCGUUGUUCGGAAUUACUGGGCGUAAAGAGUGCGUAGGCGGUUAACUAAGUUUGGUGUGAAAUCUCCCGGCUUAACUGGGAGGGUGCGCCGAAAACUGGCUAGCUAGAGUGUGGGAGAGGAUAGUGGAAUUCCUGGUGUAGCGGUGAAAUGCGUAGAUAUCAGGAGGAACACCUGCGGUGUAGACGGCUAUCUGGACCAUGACUGACGCUGAGGCACGAAAGCGUGGGUAGCAAA